rnacentral:rRNA from 1 species
GUGAGGAAUUUUGCGCAAUGGGGGCAACCCUGACGCAGCGACGCCGCGUGGAGGACGAAGUCUUUCGGGAUGUAAACUCCUGUCAGUGGGGACGAUAAUGACGGUACCCACAGAGGAAGCACCGGCUAACUCCGUGCCAGCAGCCGCGGUAAGACGGCGGGUGCAAGCGUUGUUCGGAAUUACUGGGCGUAAAGCGUAUGUAGGCGGCAAGUUAAGUUCAAUGUUAAAGCCCACGGCUCAACCGAGGAGAUGCAUUGAAUACUGGCUAGCUAGAGGGUGUUAGAGGAAGACGGAAUGCCCAGUGUAGCGGUGAAAUGCGUAGAUAUUGGGAGGAACAUCGGUAGCGAAAGCGGUCUUCUGGGACAUACCUGACGCUGAGGUACGAAAGCGUGGGGAGCAAACGGGAUUAGAUACCCGGGUAGUCC